GUGCUCGCUUCGGCAGCACAGACACAAAAACUGGAACGAUAGGGAUUAGCACGGCCCCCGCACAAGGAUGACAUGCAAAUGCGUGAAGCGUUACACAUUUAA